UUUGCGUUAGGGAUAGUAGCGGUUAGCUUUUGGCGAGCGUAUGCUUCGAGCCAAAACUAGUAGCGAAUAGCCCGACCCUUG
rnacentral:sRNA from 1 species